rnacentral:lncRNA from 1 species
CUUCCUGCUGGUCUGGUACUACUGCACCCUGACCAUCCGGGAGAGCAUCCUCAUCAACAACGGCUCCCGGAUCAAAGGCUGGUGGGUGUUCCAUCACUACGUGUCCACCUUCCUGUCGGGAGUCAUGCUGACGUGGCCCGACGGUCUCAUGUACCAGAAAUUCCGGAACCAAUUCCUCUCCUUUUCCAUGUACCAGAGCUUCGUGCAGUUUCUCCAGUACUACUACCAGAGCGGCUGCCUCUACCGCCUGCGGGCGCUGGGCGAGCGGCACACCAUGGACCUCACUGUGGUUCUGGCAGCUUUUUAACGCGCUGACGUUGUUCAACCUGGCCCAGGACCCUCAGUGCAAGGAGUGGCAGGUGCUUAUGUGCGGCUUUCCCUUCCUCCUCCUUUUCCUCGGCAAUUUCUUCACCACCCUGAGGGUUGUGCACCACAAGUUUCACAGUCAGCGGCACGGGAGCAAGAAGGAUUGAGGCUGGGCCUUCCCCUGCCGGCCCAGAGGGGCUUCUGUCCUGUGUGUUGUGGGAGGGGAUGGGAGGCGCCCCUCGAGUGUGCGUGUAUCAGGGGGUCUCUUCUAUUCUCCCUUGGGUUUUAUGGGCGCUGUGGGCCCUGAAGGAAGACCUGGGCCCAGUGCCCUCAAUAAAGAGAGGCCCAGAGGUG